UUCUGCCAUGGCCUCUGUUCCUACCUCCAGGUUCCUGCCCUGUUUGAAUUCAUGUCCUGACUUCCUUUUUGACAAAUAGUGAUCUGUCUCUGGCUGAAAGGCCGAGUUCAGGGUGUGAUGAGAUUUUGGCAUUGUUCUGCCAUAGUCAGACUUUCCAGCGUGAAGCACUAAUGGAUGCAGGAACACUCAGAGUGUUGGAGAAUUGUUCGGAUAGGAAGGGAUGUUGAAUCAUCCUGUUAUCCGAGGCAUGAGCCAGCCCUACAGCUGAGGGAGGACUUAAACUCUCCUUAACAAUGGUUAGACUCAUGGUGAAUCCUGAGGAAGUCACACAUGACCACUCUCUUGCUUGAUUCUCCAGCCCAGGGAAGAGAAGGAAGGUUUGGAAUUUUCACUUGUAUCUCUGCUCUAAUGCCUUUGAAACAGUAUCUAUAAAGUGUGGCAAUCCCAUGAAAGAACAUUUGAAGGCACAAGAAUGAUGCAGUCACAGUCGUUGUAAUUAUUGGAGCAUUCAAGGAUGAGCAGAUACCCACUUGGAAUGUAAAACCUGGCAUGAUCUUGAGGUUGGAUCGAUUAUCCACAUAUUCUUCUCUCUACCUCAGAAGUCUUCCAAACUAAAAUUAAACAAAACUUGACUGUGCUCAAAAAGCUAAUCUCCAUAGUCUUAUGCUAUCUGGCCAAAGGAUAGCCAACUUUCUGG
rnacentral:lncRNA from 1 species